CCGGUGCCCUUCGGGGCUUUAACGGGAAUGGGGUGCAAAUCCCCGGCUGUCCCUGCAACUGUAAGCGGUGAGCGAGCGAUGCUGGUGCCCCUUUGAGGCACGGCCACUGGAGUGAUCCGGGAAGGCGCAUCCCCUCGCUUCGACCCGCGAGCCAGGAGACCUGCCGGCGU
rnacentral:ncRNA from 1 species